AUGGCCAACAGUCAGCACACCUUCAUUGCCUUCAAGCUCAGCAGGGUCCAGUGAGGCCUUAUUGGGGAGAUCAUUGAGUGUUUCAAGCAAACGGGAUUUGUCUUGUUGGUUUCAAAUUCAAAUAGGCUUCUGAUGACCUCCUCAUGCAUUCUGUGCAAUACUGGCACUCAGAGCCAGUGGCUGCUAUAAUCUGGGAGGCACUGAAUGUGAAUACAGGCCACAGAGGAAACCACGGAGACCAACCCUAUGGACAGCAAGCCUGGGACCAUCCACAAAAGCUUUUGCAUUGAAGAUGGCAGGAACAUUAUGUAUGGUAGCAUGUCUGUCGGGAGUGCAGAGAAGAGGACUGGCCUGUAUUUUCACCCCCAAGGAACUGGUGGAU
rnacentral:lncRNA from 1 species